UUCACAUGAUUGGUAAUGAGAGCUUCCAUUUCAUUUUUUUAAAUUGGGGCGUUUCCAAUACUGGUCUUUACCUUUAACCCUUUAUUGAUGUGCAUGUGCCUUAAUAUUUUACAUGGCUGCAUUAUACAUAAGGUACGUGGAUGCAUUAUAAUUAUGUACAGUACAUGAAUGAAUAUUUACAUGUACAAUGUAUUUUUGUAGGAUGUAUGCAGAGCGUUUGCAUGUACAGUUAACGACAAAACUAUUCAAACACCUUUUAAAUGUUUUUGUGUUUUUCAUAACUCACGAAUUAAAAGGUGGACUGGUCGAAUAAGGGCCUUUGUUGAAUACUUUUAGAUGUAAGCCUUAAUAUGUCACAUUCUCACGAAAUGUAAAUCAGGACAAAUCAAUGUUUCACAUACGGUAGGCCUUGGUAAGGGUAUGAGAAUUUAGUUGUUAAUUGUGUAUUAGAGAUAGACGUACUGUACACUGAUUGUUGCGAAGGACCUUUUAACGAGUUUGUAGAACACUUGAACCGGAAGUUUAAAGCACUUAUCCACACUCGGGCGAUAUUUAUUUUAUUUGCUGGCAUGAGAGAUAUGCAUCACCCGUUUGCUAUGGACUUGUACUGUAUGGACCUGUUCACACUGAGAAAAAAUGGUUAGGAUCAAUAAUUAUUUUUAUAUGGUCUUUUUUUUGUGGCUAUUAUCUUUUACCAUGGCCUAUACAAUGUACCACUUUUAAAAAAAAUUACCUGGCUGGAGGGAGAUUUAUCGUCAGUUUGCAAUGGACUGGAUCUGUUCACACCAAGGUGUCAGCCCAUCAUCACCCUGUUCACACUGAGAAAAAAAUAGUUAGGAUGUUACUGUCAUGAGUGAAAUUCUUGGUACCUCUUACCGUAUACCCCUGAUACAAUAAUGUAAUCAUUUUGUCUUUUUAUAUGGCCAUUAUCUUUUACCAUGGCUUACGAUGUAUCAUGUUUUAUCUUCAACAUAAUUAUGCAUACAAGGCAAACAUUUCAGUUACAUAUUAAAAUGAGACUUUCCAUAACAUUGUUAAUGUGAUGUGUGACACCAAA